GGGGGCGCUGUGUCCGUAUAUAUACUGAUAAGGGGGCGCUGUGUCGUUUGUAUAUAUACUGAUAAGGGGGCGCUGUGUCGUUUGUAUACUGAUAGGGGCGCUGUGUCGUUUGUAUAUAUACUGAUAGGGGGCGCUGUGUCGUUCGUAUAUAUACUGAUAGGGGGCGCUGUGUCGAAGUCACCGUACCGCCAUCUUGGCACUCCCUCACCAUUUGUAAAACAUCUAUUUUAAUUUAUUACAGACACCUGUAAGAGUGUAAAGUGACCCGGUGCAGAAAGCCUAGCGGUUAAGCGCGUUGAGCCAAUAACCGAAAGGUUGCUGGUUCGAAUCCUCGACCGGGCAAGGUGUAAAAAAAUAAAUAAAAUCUGCCGUUCUCCCUUUGAACAAGUCAGUUAACCCCCAACAACAACUGCUCCCCGGGUACCGAUGUCGUGGAUUAAGGCAGCCCCCCCCCCACCUCCCUGAUUCAGAGGGGUUGGGUUAAGUGCUGAAGACAGUUCAAUUCAAUGCAUUGUUGUGCAAUGUAUCCCCAACCAACUGACUAGGUAUCCCCAACCAACUGACUAGGUAUCCCCAACCAACUGACGAGGUAUCCCCAAGCAACUGACGAGGUAUCCCCAAGCAACUGACGAGGUAUCCCCUUUGUGUGACAGAGAGAAGUGUUUGCAGUGCUGCUGGUGGAAACGUCAUUUCGCCUAGUCAUCCUUUUAAAGCAGCCUUCAGGUACGGGUGUUAAUGGUGUCAGGGUAAAUGUAUAAUUUCAUUAAUUACUGGAAUUGAUUUGUACAUCUUACUGUAGAAAUUACCAGGCCUACUGUACAUCUUACUGUAGAAAUGACCAGGCCUACUGUACAUCUUACUGUAGAAAUGAUCAGGCCUACUGAACAUCUUACUGUAGAAAUGAUCAGGCCUACUGUACAUCUUACUGUAG
ensembl:lncRNA